GCAGAUAAAAUGCUAACACAAGAAAUGAAAAGACAUGCAGUCAUUGUUACCAUAUGUGCAAGCACACAGUAAUUCAGAAAUUGCCAACUUUCUAAAUGUCGCAAGAUCUCUGGAAAUCUCUGGUGGGAAUAUUUCAACUGUAUCAAAAAGAAGAACAAACAUUCUAAGCGUUCAGAUACUAUAAGGACACCUCAAUUUAUCCAACAGCUUCAAAACAUUUUUGAUGAUGAUGACACCAAAAAAUCAAUGAGGGCCAUCACCAAAGAACUUCACAGACCAAAUCACAGGAUUCUGCUGAAGACUUUCUCCACUGACAAGUACUCAGUACAUUUAGGGGCAAGAAGCAAAUGGUGAUGAUGAUGUUGAUGAUGAUACUGUGGUGAUGAUGAUGAUGAUAAUGAUGAUGAUGAUGACAACGACGACGAUGAUGAUGAUGAUGAUGAUGACGAUGGCGAUGACGACAAUGAUGAUGAUGAUGAUGAUAAUGAUAAUGAUGAUGUUGAUGAUGAUGAUGAUGAUGAUGAUGAUGGUGGUGGUGAUAUUUAUGAUGAUGAUGGUGAUGAUGACAUGAUUGUGAUGGUGAUACGGUGAUGAUAAUGACAACAAUGGUGAUGAUGAGUGACAGUAACAAUGAUGAUGAUGAUUUAAAACAAAACGAUACAGAGAAGAAAAAGAAAAAGAGAGCCAAAGUGUCAGGAGAAAAAAAAAAAAAGAGGGUGUGUGACAAAUAGAAUACAUUAAAUGGUAACCCCCCUACCCUUCUCCUGAC